GACAGAGGGUGCAAACGUUGUCCGGAUUUAUUGGGCGUAAAGAGCUCGUAGGCGGCUUGUCGCGUCGACUGUGAAAACCCGUGGCUCAACCAUGUGGUCUGCAGUCGAUACGGGCAGGCUAGAAUUCGGUAGGGGAGACUGGAAUUCCUGGUGUAGCGGUGAAAUGCGCAGAUAUCAGGAGGAACACCAAUGGCGAAGGCAGAUCUCUGGGCCGUAACUGACGCUGAGGAGCGAAAGCAUGGGGAGCGAACAGG
rnacentral:rRNA from 1 species